GAUGAACGCUGACAGAAUGCUUAACACAUGCAAGUCGACUUGUGGCGGACUGGUGAGUAACGGGUAAAGAACUUGCCUCCCAGCUAGGGACUGCAUUUUGAAACGAAUUCUAAUACCUGAUACUGUGAGAGAGCUUUGCGUCCCAUUAGCUAGUGGGAGAGGUACCGGCUCACCACGGCGAUGAUGGGUAGCCGGCCUGAGAGGGUGAUAGGCCACAAGGGGACUGAGAAACGGCCAUUACGCAUACUGGAGGAAGAAGUGGGGAAUAUUGGACAAUGGACCAAAGUAUGAUACAGCAAUUCUGUGUGUACGAUGAAGUUUUCGGAAUGUAAAGUGCUUUGAGUGGGGAAGCGGUACCAACAGAAGAAGUGACGGCUAAAUACGUGCCAGCCGCCGCGGUAAUUC
rnacentral:rRNA from 1 species